CCGCCCUUAGCUCAGUUGGUAGAGCAAACCGCUUAUACCGGUUAGGUCCUUGGUUCGAGCCCAAGAGGGCGGA
rnacentral:tRNA from 1 species